rnacentral:rRNA from 1 species
AGCGAACGCUGGCGGCAGGCUUAACACAUGCAAGUCGAGCGGGCCCUUCGGGGUCAGCGGCGGACGGGUGAGUAACGCGUGGGAACGUGCCCUCUGGUCUGGAAUAACCCUGGGAGACUAGGGCUAAUACCGGAUACGCCCUUUUGGGGAAAGGCUUGCUGCCGGAGGAUCGGCCCGCGUCUGAUUAGCUCGUUGGUGGGGAAACGGCCUACCAAGGCGACGAUCAGUAGCUGGUCUGAGAGGAUGAUCAGCCACACUGGGACUGAGACACGGCCCAGACUCCUACGGGAGGCAGCAGUGGGGAAUAUUGGACAAUGGGCGCAAGCCUGAUCCAGCCAUGCCGCGUGAGUGAUGAAGGCCUUAGGGUUGUAAAGCUCUUUUAUCCGGGACGGUAAUGACGGUACCGGAGGAAUAAGCCCCGGCUAACUUCGUGCCAGCCGCCGCGGUAA